AUGCAUUGCUGGUUAGAGUUGCAAAAGCAUCCGAAGUGGGAGAAUCGUGUGGUUUCGAAGGGGCCUCCGGAAAAGCAGAAGAAGACCUCGGAUGCAAGUCCAGGUACAACUUCUAAUGAUGAAGACUUCGGAUCCACUGAUGCUCUUGAUACAGAGAUAAGGCCUGAUGGUAAUAAGCGAGAUAAAGAACGUUUACGGAAAGUUAAAGCUUCUGCUUCCGAUGCUCUUGCUCCCAAGUUAUCAUUAGAAACUGUGUGGGCACAAAAGCUAGAGAAGGUCGAGGCGAAAGAGGCCGCGAAGAAUGCUCGUUAUGAGCGAGCAUUUGAAUUGCAGGAGAAGCAAAUUGCAUUGCAGGAGAGGCAGAUGGUAAACCAGGAGAGGGAGAGACAGAUGGCAAACCAAGAGAGGGAGAGGCAAAUGACAAUCAAGGAGAGGGAGAUGGCACAGAAACAGUUUGAGUUAGAAGAGAAGAUCAUGUCCAUGGACACUACUACUAUGAGUGGGGCACAACAACAAUUCUACAUCAACAAGCAGAAUGAGAUUGCCGCUCGCCGAUAG
rnacentral:rRNA from 1 species